rnacentral:lncRNA from 1 species
UUUUUUCUUUUAAAUCUAUAAAGUUUUAACUUAAAAAUGUCCUUCAGGGUGAUUUUCUAAGCUCAUCCAAAGGCCAAAACACUGUAGCAAACCAUAUCUACUAUUUUACAGCAAAACCCAUUGGGGUAUAGGAUUCCCAAACAAUUCAUUUUCCAGCAAUGUUUAGCCAGGGAUAAUCUCUGUUGAGAGAUUCCAUGUGCAUUUACAGCAUGCUUAUGAUUAUAUGCAAAUAUGCCUGUGGUCCUCUUAGUUCGCAGGUCACCAUUUGAACCUUGGCAAAAGCAAGUGGCCAUACCCAUAUGUUAUCACCACCCAAAUGCUACCUGGCAGUGCUCAAGCUUUAUUUUUUUCUAAGAUACCUGCUCCAGAAAAAGUUAAAAAAUAUUCACUUCACUGGGCAUACAUUGACCUUUCUUCCCAGAAGACUCUGUCCAGCCUGGCUUUUGAUAGAAACCCUUCCAAGAGUGGCCAAGGGCCUAAGCUAAAACUUUCAGACCCCUCCAGUCAUUUAUCAGGCCCUAUUAUGCCAUCUCAAAAUGUAUGGUGUGCAUUUUAGAUUUUCACAGUACAAGCUGAAGAUCUACAGCACUGAGCAGAUUAGUGAUUGAUUUGAUACCAACAUUUCUAAGUCAGCUGUUCGAAAAAUGACUAUUUGGAUUCUCAGGGCAUUGUAAUUAUCAUCCUUUUCUGUAGGUUUUUAGAAGCUGGACUACACUGCAUCAGUGUAUAAUGGUUUAGACUACCAGCAAAAUUUAAAUUACAGACGACCAAGAUUGACAGGGACCUUAAAGGGUGCCCAUCUUCCAUCCAGGGCUGGCAUCCUCUCCACAGCAUCCCCUAUAAGUGAGUACCCAGCCUUCCCAUUAUUGUGAGUAAUAGAUGUAAUAGAAUAAUGGAAGGAAAAAAAUAAAGGUCCCAAAUAGCAGUCCUAUUUUCAUAUUCCAGCAGAUGGGCCAUAGAAAUAGGUCAUCUGAUCUGGUUACACUGAAUUUUCUCCAGCAAAUAAAAAAUGACCCUGGUCAACAAACACUUUUGUGGGUCUGAUGGCACAGCCAUCAUUCAGUCAAGUAAAACAGAUCAUUCUGUUUGCGCUGCCAGCAGGGAAGGAAAGCUGUUUUCACAGUUCUGCCCAGGAACAAGUGCACUUCCCCUUCCUUCACACCUAGCUCCUCAGUUGCUUUCAAAACCACCGCGGUGCCCUUUGUUCAUUGCUCUAUCCUGCAUACACCACUCUGUAUUAAACAAGACAAUUCUGAGGCUAGUGCUUGGCACAUGGGUAGGCUCAGUAAUCUAUAACUAUUUCUACUAGUGCCAGUAGGACUGCACCUCCUUAGACUGUAAGCCCUUUGAGCACAGACCAAAUCUUGUUCAUCCCAUCAGAUUGAUGAUUUUUCUUUUAGAUGUAGGAUUUUAAAUGGAUGAUAUUCUUAUGGGUGAGGAGAGCCCCAGAUUCCAGAGAUAAUGUGUUAUAAGAAAUAAUAUAAAAAAAGAAAUAAUAUCUGCUGCUUGCCCUAAAAUGAAGAUAGGUUAUCAAAAGCAAAGGUAGAGUUUUAGUGUUUAAACUCAGUUCUAAGACUGUAGUGUUUUCUUGAAAACAGGCAGAGAAUUCUAUAAAAGGCAGCAGGCAUAAGUAAAAACAUGCUUGCAAAUGUGCUGUGUGAGGUAGAGAGUUUAUGUAGCACUGUUUUUGCACAUGCACGGGGGAAGGGAGAGCACGCACACACAUGUGUACGUGUGUGUGUGUGCACUGUGGUUAAACCUGAUCUGCACUGUGCUAAAACUAUGUGAGCGUUCCAGAAGGAGGUGGGGAGAUGAGUGAUUGCUGACUCGGCAUUUCACCCAGAGCCCAGUGGGAGGGAGGAAACCUAGAGCUGAGGAUCUCCUGGAGAACGAGCCCAGAGAACUAACAGUUCUCUCCAGCAGUUUUUAAGGUAAGCAUACAAGAGGCCUGCUCAUUAACUCAAACCACCGAGGGCUGUUUGAAUGGCACUUGGGUUUACACUCACCAUAAUACACACAUCUGGGGACUUCCUUUUCCUCACAAUCUCCUAGCAACUCAAGAAAAUAGAAAAUAUGGAGGGACAACAUAAUCCCCAUUUCACAACUCAGAAAACUGAGGUUCCUCAAGGUCAUUUAUUGGUCCACGCUAACAAGCUGUGGCAUUUUCAGAUUUCCUGGAUCCUCUCUGGUCUCAUUCUGUCUUCUCCACAAGUGGAGACCUAGCAGCAGCAGGACAGGGGCUCAGGAUGGAGAGCUCUGGAGUUCACAGCCCCCUCCUUCCCACCACCUUGUCUGAUCCUCAGAGGACUGUGAGGAAGAAAGUGUGAGUUUCACUGUGAAAAAGGGAUCUAUUAGAAGCACUCACAGUAACAAAAAGCACAAAGCUAGCAACAAAAGAACCACCCCCAAAAAUAGAAAACAUGGAGGUGAGAAUUUAAAAAGCCUAACAAUCCAUUAGCAUAAGGCCCUGAGUACCGCACGUGCCAGAAAGAGAAGUCUGUACAGUAAUGAUGCCCAAGGUGGCAAUCCCAAGACCAAAAAAAAAAAAAAAAAAAAAAAGUCUCUCUGAUGUUCACCCUUAGGAAGGCAGAAAAAUGUACUCUCUAUAUAUUUUUUUUCAUUAAGUGAUUAAAGUAGAAACAAUUUGGAAUUCAACAGCUAUUUGAAUGAAUAAUCAAUCACAUUCCCUAAAGACAACCUACAGAAUAGUGAAAAAUAUAUUUGCAAACCAUGUAUCUGAUAAGGCCUUAAUAUCCAAAACAUAUAAAGAACUCAUACAACUCAAUUGCAAACAAGCAAAAUCCUCAAAUUACCCAAUUAAAAAUGAGCAAAGGAUCCGAAUAGACAUUUCUCCAAAGAAGAUAUAAGAAGAGGCCAAUGGGUACAUGGAGGGAUGCUCAAUGUCACUCAUCAUCAGGGAAAUGCAGAGCUAAAGCACGAGGAGAUCACCUCACAUCUGUCAGAAGAGCCAUCAUCAAAAAGACGAGAGGACAAAUGCUGAUAAAGAUGGAGAGCAAAGGGAGCCCUCAUCCUCUGUUGGUGGGAAUGUAAGCUGGUGCAGCCGCUGUAGAAAACAGUAUGGAGAAUCCUCAAAAAUUAAAAACAGAACUACCUUAUGAUCCAGGAAUUCCACUUCUAGGAUCUUAGUCAAAAGUAAAGAAAACAUGAACUCAAAUAGAUAUCUCCAUCCUCAUGAUCACAGCAACAUUUAUAAUAGCUAAGACGUGGAAAUAACCAAAGUGUCCAUGGGUGAGUGAAUAAAGAUGAUGUAUGUAUAUACUGUGGAAUAUUAUUCAGUCGUGAAACAUGAGGAAAUCCCACCAUUUACAACGACAUGGAUAGGCCCUGAAGGCAUUUUGCUAAGUGAAAUAAGUCAAAGACAAAGACAAAUACUGUACGAUCUCACUUACAUGUGGACUCUAAAAAAACAAAAGCAAAACAAACAAGUAAACAAAAACUCAUAGAAAAAGAGAUCAGACCUGUGGUUAGCAGAGGCAGGGGGAUGGCAGAGCAGGGAAUCAAAGGAAGGUGGCCAAAAGACACAAACUUCCAGUGAUAAGAUAACUAAGUACUAGGGAUGUGAUGCCCAACAUGCUGACUAGAGCUGCCACUGCUGUGUGAUCUAUAGCAAAGGUGUUAAGAGAAUAAAUCCUGAGAGUACGCAUCACAAGAACACUUCUCUCCCUUCUUUUCUUUUUAUUGAAUCUGUAUGAGAAGAUAGAUGUUAGCUGAAUCUGUUGUGAUAAUCAUUUCACAAAAUAUGUAAAUCAACCCAUCAUGCUGUAUGCUUUAAACUUAUGCAGUGAAAUAUGUCAAUUGCUUCUCAAUAAACUGGAAAAAAUAACUAUUACAUUUCUUGACAAUGCUAAAUAAACAGACAGUGAGGCUUGUAAGGAGGGUGGGAGCCACCUGCCGACUUGCCUGGCUGGAAUCAGCAGGUAAUAAAAGGGCAGCAGCCCUUUCCUGUGGUGGAUAAUCAGGGCACACAGGGCUUUGAGUGCUCAAGGAAAGUGCCACCUAGUCUGGGGGCGGGUCAGGAGUGUGAGACCCCAAAUUAAAGAUAAGCCAUGCACAUGUACACAAGACUGGCCAACUGAGAGACAUCUAACCAAGAAAGAUAAAUAGGUGAGGAAAGGGACCAGAGUGCAACCCAACUACCCCUCAGGAAUCCAAGGGUCAUCUGGGAGGCACUAGUCUAAAAUCUAAGCUAAUGGGAAAUAAACUGCAAUUUUGGAAAUUAUAAAUCACAAGAAGCAUGUGAUGUUGGCAUGACAAAAUAUUCUAGUGGCUGGAAGCAUUUAAAUCUUUAAAUUGGAGCUGGACACCAGAAUUUGUUCUAAGACCAGAGUGGCUGACUGGCCAGUGGCUAUAGAUCUUACCCCCUGGCCAGAAGUGGGGGUGCCAGGCUUCCACAGACCAACUCUUAAUCCAACUUUGCCCUUUAUUCCUACUCCCCAAUUAACUAUACAUGUUUUCUGUUUCCAGAUGGGGGGAGCCCCUCACCCUGUCGCUCUAUCAUCUCCUCCUAAGAGACUCUGCUCUGAGAGAGGAGUAUUCCUCCAAUACCAAUGGGAAUGCUUCCAACCCCCCAGGAAUACCAUGGCUGAGAUGGGGGAAAGGCUGUGCAAUGCUGAGGGGGCUGACCCUGGCUCAUCAAAGUGGACGGCCAGCCUGUGAAGGUGAAGCUAAGCCAAAGCACAGCCACUACACUCACUGUAGAGGGCACUUCUCUAGGGAAAGAACGGAUGGGGAUAGGGAUGUGAGUCAGUCACCUCCACCUGUGUGACUGGAGCCUCAAUGUCCUACCUUACCUGUGAAAAAUGAGAAAUGUAUCCAGCAUCUAGAAGGAACUCAACAGAUGUGUUUCCUUCCCUGACUCUGAUACACUAGACCAGUGCUGGAGAGCUAAGUAACACAACGGGCCACUCCAAAGGCUCAGUAGCCACUGUCAUGCUGGCAUCUGGGAACUGCAGUUAGCAAAGGAUAUUCAACCAAAACCAGUAAUACUACUACCGAAGGAAAUCAAAAAGCAGACCAAGGGUGAGGCAGUAAUGAAUGGAAAUUGC